rnacentral:lncRNA from 1 species
GACUAACUAAAUUUUUAAUUCAGUGAUGGAAGGCUUCUGGGCAUAGUCAAGUACUUGUGAAGUCAGAGUGUGAUCGAGAUGGGAUUGACCACUCCAAGAGUUGGAGAAGAAUGAGUCACUGUAUUUCAAUUUAGCAAAAUCUUGGCUAGGGUAAUCCAUCAGAUGGAUUUGAUAUUUUGAAAUACAAUGUGGACAACCUGAUCAGAGUUGAUAAACUCUGAGG